CCCCACUCGGCUUGUACAAAGUAACUCUGCCUUCAGACCCCUCUUGUUGUUCGUGUCUAUCUCUUAGAAGCCAACCAUUUCCUCUCUCAUCUCUCCUCACCUGCAAACCAAAAAGGAAGAAACCCAAAGUUUUGAUUCUAAGCAACAUCACCACGAAGAUUGGGAAGAGACACUCUUCAUUCCUCUCUUUAAUUGAACUACUUUUAGUGAGGAAAAGUUAGUUUCCCUUUGUUGAUUUUUGAUCUUUCAUAUCAAUUUCUCUUUCAGCUUGGGGUUUCGUAUGUGGUUCCCGAAUGGGGUUUCGAUUAGAGUUCCAAAAGGUGGAACGAUUCAGAUCAUCGUCGUCGUCCACCUCCAGCAGCUCUCACUACCUCUCCAAGUGCCUCCUCCGAGGUACCGUCGUUCUCCAGGUCCUCUAUGGUCACAUCCACUUCCCCAACUCCAACAACAUUGUUUUCGGUAAGGUCCUCUCUCUCUCACUCUCACACGCGCGCACCCUCUCCCUUCUCUCUCUCUCUGCGCUCUAGGUCAAUCUCUCCGCCCCCUACAAUUGCUUCAAUCAUCGAAACCCUAAUUCGCUCUCUCUAACUCAUUCACGACCCCCUCGUACUCUACCAUACUCUGAAGCUCGUCUCUGACCUGGCAUCGGGACAGCCCACCUCUCCGGCCUCGUCUUCGCCUCCGUUCGCUCCGACUCAGUGAGUGAGCUUCUCAGAGAUCGAUUCAAACUCUCCAUUAUCUCUAUCGCUGAAGCCGAAGCAAUGAAGAGAAGCGGAUUCUUGGGCUAUGAAGCCUCAAGUUGGGGAACGAUUCUGAGUCGGCCGGAAGAACAGUAGUAUAUCCAAGCUGUGGCAUGAAUUAGAGGUCAGCAGUGGCAUGGAUUGGAUUAAUGUGCAAUGCAGAGGUCCCGUAGAGCUCUUCUGCAUCGAAGAGCUUUGGAAAAAGUCACCACUGGAAGGAGCCGCUUGUAUAAGGUGUCUCUAUCUUUAAUUUUUGCUCUGUGGGGGUUUGUCUUCCUUAUCAGCUUAUGGUUUAGUCAUGGUGAUGAACAAAGAGGAAACCCUCUUUAUGAAAUAUGAUGUCGUCCUCCUUGAUUUUGUAACUAGCUAUUCUGAAGCAUAAACAAUGCAGGUUGUUAAAGUGAAAUUAGCCAUCUCAAGGCGUUUGAGGGAGUUAUACCAAGUAGAUCCUGCAGAUUAUAUGCUGGCCAUUUGCAGAAAUGAUGCUCUUAGGGAGCUUUCUUCUCCAGGGAAGAGCGGCUGCUUCUUUUACUUGACUCAGGAUGAUAGAUUCAUGAUAAAGACUGUAAAAAAAUCGGAAGUCAAGGUGCUAAUAAGGAUGCUUCCAAGUUAUUAUAGACAUAUGUCUCGAAUUUCAUUCAAGCUGUGUGGACUCAUGGCUGACAAAAUGGGGGACAUGAUGCCCCGUGUGCAAGCAUGAUAUGAGAACAAAAUCUGUGAAUCCUGAGAUCAAGAGAAGGACCUGGUUGGAUGAUUCAUGAAUGUAUUUAUGAAUGUCAAGAUAUCAAGGUUUCCUCCUGUUUAUUGUGGAAUUCCAUUUGAAUUCCACCGGAAUGUGUUUUAUUAUGUGAAGUGAAGAGAUAUGGAUCAUAACUUCUCUACAUUCUUGUAAAAUGUCAGUAACAGUUCAUAUGCAGCUAAGUAAAUAUAGUCACUUGACUCAAUUUCUCAUAACUUUGUUAUCAUGUCCAUGCCUCAUUCACCAAAAUGAUUAACUAAUCCUUUGAUAUAAUAAACUAAUUUCAGUGGGAGAGGAGAGGCAGCAACGAAUACACCCAAGCGGAUAUUGAUCAAGUGCGAAAUGAGUGGGGGAAGUUUGUUGUCAACACAUAUGUGCAUGAGCCAUGAAGUAGCGCGCUUGUUGCUGGUCCAUUUUGGCGAAGGAAAACAUCUUUUUUUGUGCUUCUCUGCUGGUACAUUGUCAUGCACCAUGUGUUGCAUGUUUUGGAACAAUGGAUAUAUAUGUAUCAGCUUUUUGAUGUCUCAAGUAGAUGGGCAUGCACUAGAAUGCUUUUCUUGUUUAAAAUGUUGGGUUCAAUGAUUAGUGGUUUGCAAUGUUUAUA